rnacentral:ncRNA from 1 species
AAGAACAGCCAUGCACCACCAUGUUUGGACUUGGUAAGUUUCCCUAGGCAGCACAUCUGUUAAAAGAUAACAUAGGUGUCCUAAGAUAAGCUCAACAAGAAUAGAAAUCCCAUGUGGAACAAAAGGGUAAAAAAUUGUUUAAUUUUGAUCUUCAAUACAGAAAGCAUGGCUUAUCAAUCCUUUUGAUUUUCAGAAUUUUUCAGAAAAGUUACCAUAGGGAUAAUUGGUUUGUGACAUUGCUUUUUGAUCCUUUGAUGUCACCUCUUUCUAUCAUUGUGAAGCAAAAUUCACCAAAUGUUAGAUUAUUCACCCACCAAUAGAGAACGUGAGUUGGGUUUAGACUGUCAUGAGACAAGUUAAUUUUACUCUACUGAUGCGUGGCGCCACAUUAAUAGUAUGAGAGGAACCAUUGAUUUGCAUCACUAGUCAUUGCACAAGCCAGUGGCUACCAUGCAAGGGAUUAUAACAGAAUGCCUAUAAGUCAGAAUCUGUGCUAGAAGUGGCUACCAUGCAGGGGAUUAUAACAAAACACCUUUAAGUCAGAAUCUGUGCUAGAAGUGGCACUGUCGACCUCCCUGGUUGUUACCCAAUGUUGUAGGGGUGGCCCGGAGAACACAUGAAGUGAACUGGUUUCGGAUUGCAAUUCUGAACGAGCAGGGAGAUAAAUCCUUUGCAAACGACUUAAAUAAAGGAUGGGGUACUGUAAGCGGCAGAGUGGCCUUGAUACUAGGAUCCGCUAAAGUUCAUCCCUCACUCCCAUCGAUUU